rnacentral:lncRNA from 1 species
GUCACCCACUUCUCGAAGGAGAGGACUCUCCACCUGAUAAUAGCCCUGUGAUGCUGACACACAGUAGGAAUCAUUCAGACGAAACAAUUGAACUAAUAUCACAUUAUGAAGACAAUGGUCCAGUCACCUCAGCUAGUUUUUCAAAAGACAGAGGAACCACAUGGGGAGGAGAAGAAAGCCAAAAGUGCAUUACUGUUGCUUCUUUACCGGUGGCCUCUCCACAACAGAGUUUCUCUCCCUUUGAGCCGGAAGAAAACAUCAGCCCAUCAGACAGGAUCACAGACAAGGAUGUUCCUAUGUUGGAAAUGAAAGAGAUGUUUGACUCAGUCAUUGAAGAGCUGUGUAUGUACUUUGAAAUUGGUCAAGAAGAAGAGGAGUCAAAUGAGGUACCUACUGAGUCAAGAAAAGAGGACAGUGUACCCUGCGCUAGUCCAUUCUCAAAAUCUCAAGAUGUUACCGUGUCAAGAGACAACAUUCUUGACGUUGAACAAGUGGAGGUAGAAUCUUCAGAUGUCCUCAAAGAGCUUGACUAUGAACAAGAGGUCCCCCUAGAAAGUGGUCACCCUCUUCUCGAAAGAGAGGACUCUAUGUAUUCCAUCAUGAAGAGCAAAGGUACAUCUUUUUACAUUAUUGAUUUAUACUUAAAUAAGAAGUGCAGUUAUUCCAUGUGCACAAUUUCCUUCCAGAAUUCAGAAAAGAUGACAACUACAAACCCUGGUCUCCUGCAUUCCUGUCUUUUCCUUUCCUCGGACAUCUUGGUGAAAGACAAGUGGAGUCAUCACCAAAAAGACUGGAGCCUCUGAAAACAUGCAGCCGCCCAAUCCGUGUGGGACUCUCCAAAAAGGCCAGGACAAAGCAGCUGCAUCCGAACCUGAAAUAAGCACAGUCCGAGGCACAGCGAGGUCUGUUCAGAUAUUAAAUAUGGCAACGUGUUUACACUGCAGACCUACAUAUGGACACUAGUUAGAGCAGGUAUUAGCAUUAGUAUUAGUGUAUCCUGUUUUUGCUUGGCCUUGUUCCAAACCUGGUAUGCUUUUUAAUCUAUUUAUGAAUGAGCAUCACUCUAUCAUAUUUAAACUGUAAAAUGUAUGGUAUAUAUUUAUUCAUAUGGUCUUCGGUACCGCGUUUCAUAAUUAUAAAUUUAAGUUGGAAUUGUUCAUGGCUCUCACUAUUUUGUUUGAUACUGUUUAUUCAUUAGCAUAAAAUUGCAUGGUAGUCGGCCCAGACAAAAUGUAGGCACUGUAGUUGGUCGUUAUUUUAAAAACCUUAUAAUUUUAACUCUAUUUUUGUACUGUCUUUGCACAGCAUCUCAGGUUAUAGUUUGUUCUCAGGUAAUAGAAACUUCAAGUACUGAUGUCUUUUCAAGGCAAUGCAGCCUGUCCAAUGAGCCUGAAGCUUUUGGGAAUAUUUACUGGCGUAUUGCUGCUUUAAUUGAUGAUUGAAUAUGUAAAAAUCAACAGUGGACUCAUUCUCUUAAUAGACCAAGCAGCGUCAUAAUAGCAGCACCCAUGGAGAUAUGAAUAGAGACACAGAGAGACAGGGAUAGAGAGAUUUUAAAAGCUCCCUGUUAUGCCAUUGACAGAUCAGGACAGUAACUUCUAAAAGUUCUUCCUUGCAGGAGGGAUUUAUUUUAUAAGAAUCCCUGCAAAAACAUCAGGAACAAAACAAGAGCUUUACUCAAUAUCUAAUAACUGUGUGAGAGGCAGAAAAUGGUAGAGAAUGGUGGCAUCAUUGAGGUUCUUGGCUCCCGAUUACAUCCUGGUAGCUGAAAGGUAUCUGCUUGCAUAAUUUCAUUCAGUGAAU